rnacentral:rRNA from 1 species
CGGCCGAGCAAGUCCGUCGGGAAAUCCAGCAGCUCAACUGCUGGGCGUCCGGCGGAAACUGUUCGGCUUGGGACCGGAAGACCCGAGGGGUACGUCCGGGGUAGGAGUGAAAUCCCGUAAUCCCGGACGGACCGCCGAUGGCGAAAGCACCUCGGGAAGACGGAUCCGACGGUGAGGGACGAAAGCUGGGGUCUCGAACCGGAUUAGAUACCCGGGUAGUCCCAGCCGUAAACGAUGUCUGCUAGGUGUGGCGCUGGCUAUGAGCCAGCGCUGUGCUGUAGGGAAGCCGUGAAGCAGACCGCCUGGGAA